rnacentral:rRNA from 1 species
UACAGAGGGGGCAAGCGUUGUUCGGAAUUACUGGGCGUAAAGGGCGCGUAGGCGGCCUGUUAAGUCGAACGUGAAAUCCCCGGGCUCAACCCGGGAACUGCGUCCGAUACUGGCAGGCUUGAAUCCGGGAGAGGGAUGUGGAAUUCCAGGUGUAGCGGUGAAAUGCGUAGAUAUUGGGAGGAACACCGGUGGCGAAGGCGGCCCCCUGGACCGGUACUGACGCUGAGGCGCGAAAGCGUGGGUAGCAAACGGG